rfam:Anaerolinaceae bacterium 46_22 MPJ_scaffold_907, whole genome shotgun sequence.
GCCAACGUAGCUCAGCUGGUAGAGCAGACGCUUCGUAAGCGCCAGGUCGAGGGUUCAAAUCCCUCCGUUGGCU